rnacentral:rRNA from 1 species
GCAAGUCGAGCGGACAGAUGGGAGCUUGCUCCCUGAUGUUAGCGGCGGACGGGUGAGUAACACGUGGGUAACCUGCCUGUAAGACUGGGAUAACUCCGGGAAACCGGGGCUAAUACCGGAUGCUUGUUUGAACCGCAUGGUUCAAACAUAAAAGGUGGCUUCGGCUACCACUUACAGAUGGACCCGCGGCGCAUUAGCUAGUUGGUGAGGUAAUGGCUCACCAAGGCAACGAUGCGUAGCCGACCUGAGAGGGUGAUCGGCCACACUGGGACUGAGACACGGCCCAGACUCCUACGGGAGGCAGCAGUAGGGAAUCUUCCGCAAUGGACGAAAGUCUGACGGAGCAACGCCGCGUGAGUGAUGAAGGUUUUCGGAUCGUAAAGCUCUGUUGUUAGGGAAGAACAAGUACCGUUCGAAUAGGGCGGUACCUUGACGGUACCUAACCAGAAAGCCACGGCUAACUACGUGCCAGCAGCCGCGGUAAUACGUAGGUGGCAAGCGUUGUCCGGAAUUAUUGGGCGUAAAGGGCUCGCAGGCGGUUCCUUAAGUCUGAUGUGAAAGCCCCCGGCUCAACCGGGGAGGGUCAUUGGAAACUGGGGAACUUGAGUGCA